rnacentral:rRNA from 1 species
CGGACAGUGUCUGGUGGGUAGUUUGACUGGGGCGGUCUCCUCCUAAAGAGUAACGGAGGAGCACGAAGGUUGGCUAAUCCUGGUCGGACAUCAGGAGGUUAGUGCAAUGGCAUAAGCCAGCUUGACUGCGAGCGUGACGGCGCGAGCAGGUGCGAAAGCAGGUCAUAGUGAUCCGGUGGUUCUGAAUGGAAGGGCCAUCGCUCAACGGAUAAAAGGUACUCCGGGGAUAACAGGCUGAUACCGCCCAAGAGUUCAUAUCGACGGCGGUGUUUGGCACCUCGAUGUCGGCUCAUCACAUCCUGGGGCUGAAGUAGGUCCCAAGGGUAUGGCUGUUCGCCAUUUAAAGUGGUACGCGAGCUGGGUUUAGAACGUCGUGAGACAGUUCGGUCCCUAUCUGCCGUGGGCGCUGGAGAACUGAGGGGGGCUGCUCCUAGUACGAGAGGACCGGAGUGGACGCAUCACUGGUGUUCGGGUUGUCAUGCCAAUGGCACUGCCCGGUAGCUAAAUGCGGAAGAGAUAAGUGCUGAAAGCAUCUAAGCACGAAACUUGCCCCGAGAUGAGUUCUCCCUGACUCCUUGAGAGUCCUGAAGGAACGUUGAAGACGACGACGUUGAUAGGCCGGGUGUGUAAGCGCAGCGAUGCGUUGAGCUAACCGGUACUAAUGAACCGUGAGGCUUAACCUUACAACGCCGAAGGUGUUU